UUUUUCCAAAGAGGCUUCAUCUUCCAAAAUAAAACUAGGACUGGCUUAUUCUCUUUUUUUUUAAUUGGAAAGUUUGAAAAAAAUGGUGAGAAAAGAUAGGAGAUUGAUGUUUUGAAAUAAUAUUUUACCUACUAAGGAACGAUUUGAAGACAAAGGAAAAUCUGCUAGAACUGUUGAACUCUAUGAACACCAAGGAAUAUCAGCUAUUCAAUAAUGUCACUUUAAUACUCACUUUACUCUGAUCAUAUAGACUGGAAAUAGGGAGAAAGAGAGAGAGAAGGAUCCCAGCACCAUUUAGAUGUAUUUUUGUUGAUCUCACUCCUCCCAGUUUAAAAACACAGAAACUGUUUUCUGCGAACUGUUUCAUCACUGACUUGCCUGCACUCCAGCGGAAACUUCCAGCACAUAACAGAUCACAUUGCUCGACCCGCCGUGAGGAAGCCCUCGGCGGGCUUACCUGGCAAGUAAACAGAGAGCCCUAGAAGAAAGACAACACUGAUGAAGGAGUUGAAUGUCAAAGAUGGUGAAAAGUGGUGUCGCCUUCUCUCUGAAGCAAAGAACCAUUGAAGUGACAGAUGGGGAGUCACCCAGCAACGUGAGUCCCCAGGAAUUCCCCAGGAGUUCCUUGAUUCAGCUCCCCACUGUGUAUCUUCUAACGAUGCCUAAGUGGGAAAGGAUGAGAUGGCUUACCUCCUGCUUUGCCCUUUCUUCUGGGAGGACUCUCUGUGAAGUGACAGAUUAUCUGAUGAAGCCAUUCAUAAUAGCAGGGCUCAGGCUUUCCUCUCGGGACCCACACGCACGAUUCUUCUGGAGGCCUCACCUGGACCCGAGCAGCAGUUCUCGCCCUAUGAGACCCCUCAGACCCCAGGACAGGAACGGCUUUUCUAUACCCAGGCCGCCCGCAUGCCUCCCUCCUCACUGACUGUUGCUGUUGAGGCAACUUGGGAACACAUCAAUACUUCCUCCCCGACAAGAGAGCACUACUGAAGAUGCUAAAGGAGAAGUGUGUUGCCAGAUGACCUUCUGAGGUCUCCUGAAGGAGCAUGCAGAGAGGGAAUCCACCUCAGCAAGGCUGGUCUCUGUGAACAGGAGCAGGAAAUAAUGUUUGCUGUGACCUACUAUGGACCAGGGGGACUGCAGACACUUUAUUUAGUCUUGCCCCACAGACUUGACAGAACUAAUCACCUUCGGGCUUCCUUGGUGGCCCAGUUGUUAAGAAUCCGCCUGCCAAUGCAGGAGACAUGGGUUCAAGCCCUGGUCUGGGAAGAUCCCACAUGCCGCGGAGCAACUAAGCCCGUGCACUGCAACUACUGAGCCUGAGCUCCGCAACAAGAGAAGCCACCACAAUAAGAAGUCUGAGCACUGCAGUGAAGAGUAGCCCCCGCUCUCCACAGCUACAGAAAGCUCCCACGCAGCCAUGAAGACCCAACGCAGCCAAUAAAUAAAAAUAAAUAAAGAACUAAUCAUCCUCUAACAUGAUUUAUUUUAUUUAUGUUUGUUGUUUAUUGUCUACUACCCUGUAGUAGGAGCGGGGCAGGCGUGAGCUAUAGCAGCCCCGCUCAGCCAUGGGUUGGUGCUGCAGUGGGCCCUGCCCCUUCCCUCUCUUCUGUAUAAAAGGAGCCUGAAUUCAGGCUGAAGGAAGAUGCUUUUUUUGAGACACUAGUCUGUCAUUUUCUCGGGCUGCUAGCUUUCUGAUUAAAAUUGUUAUUGC